AAGAAUGAAGGCAAAGAG
rnacentral:sRNA from 1 species